rnacentral:rRNA from 1 species
UACGUAUGUGGCGAGCGUUGUCCGGAUUUACUGGGCGUAAAGGUAGCGUAGGCGGACUUUUAAGUGGGAUGUGAAAUACCCGGGCUCAACUUGGGUGCUGCAUUUCAAACUGGAAGUCUAGAGUGCAGGAGAGGAGAAUGGAAUUCCUAGUGUAGCGGUGAAAUGCGUAGAGAUUAGGAAGAACACCAGUGGGGAAGGCGAUUCUCUGGACUGUAACUGACGCUGAGGCUCGAAAGUGUGGGGAGCAAACAGGAUUAGAUACCCUGGUA